UACGUAGGGUGCAAGCGUUGUCCGGAAUUAUUGGGCGUAAAGAGCGCGCAGGCGGUCCACCAAGUCAGAUGUGAAAUAUCCCGGCUUAACCGGGAGGGGUCAUUUGAAACUCGUGAACUAGAGUACAGCAGAGGAUAGCGGAAUUCCCGGUGUAGUGGUGAAAUGCGUAGAUAUCGGGAGGAACACCGGUGGCGAAGGCGGCCUUCUGGACAGUGACUGACGCUGAGACGCGAAAGCGUGGGGAGCAAACAGG
rnacentral:rRNA from 1 species